GCAUUCUUGGUUUAGUGGUAAAAUCCGUCGUUGCCAAGCUGAAUCGACGGGCCCCGUGUUCGAUUCACGGAGAAUGCA